CCUAUUGCAAGGUGAUACAUGCAUCGAGUUGCACACGGUCAUGUGUUCAUUUGGGGCGCUCACUGCUUUGUUUUUCUUGGGUUGCAAGCCAUUCUAGCCGCACCAGAUUCCUUGUCCCCCAUUCCGUGGUGGUUAGCGAAUGCGAUGGAAACUGAUAAGCUUGAAACAACAACUGUUGUUCAGCGGAUUGUCGAGCUUCUUCCAACCGUUACAAAAAAGUUCCGCGACUGCCAGAACAACCACCGCGACACCUCGUGCUGCGAAAGAAGCUGGCGGGCGCCAUCCUCCGGUCCGCCCACACCGUCGAGCGCGAGUUCUAGAUUACGGGUUCACGAGAGUUGGGAAGCUCAGUUUUCAAACUGUGAUUAAGUCGACAUCCCACAGUUUCAAGUCAAUCUGCGAUUUGCGUAAGUGGUUCUUCUAUUGAUUGGUUCCCUAGGAGAAAGAUUGAAUCAUACUUCAAGAGAAAGAUAUAGCAACUUUUGGUACCUGAUCCAGUGUGCAAAAUGUCUCAUUAUUCUUUGGUGAUAUUUCUCUAGAGUGUACUGCAUUUGAGACAAAGUUUUGGUACUUGGAUACAUUUGAUACGUGGUAAAACUGAUGACGAAAUUUGUGCUUUGUUUCGUUGUGGGGACUUUCGCCGAAGCAUUUCCAUUUUAGCAUGGAGUUGUUUUCGGUGGCAUUAUAAAGCCUGAACAUGCGCUACUCCUAUUUUGAAUGGGAGACACAUCUGGGCAGUACUAGGGAUGGACGUAGGAUAGUGAGGUAUGUGUGAGGGAAUGGUAUGUAUUUGUCGGAACUGAUAAAGAACAUAUGGAUUCUUUUGAGAUACAUCUGGUUCAUUUGAAUGAUAACUUAAUGAAGGUUGUAUGAGGGAUGGGGGUUGUACUAACCUUGGAAGUGGGAUGCACUGUUGCAAGGGAUAAGGAGGAACUAAUGGCUUUCCAAAAUGUUAAAAUAUUCUCUCAAGUAAUAUCCUUGGGUCUAGAGGCUGCAUCCCACCUGCCUGAUAAUGACCUGUUACAUGAAUCUACUGUUUUAGACUUAUGUUUUUUCAGAUUUAUGGUUAAAUAGUUUUUAUUUUCCAUGUAAUGCAGAUAUACCAUGGCAUAUACGAUUUAUAUUAUGUCAGUUACAUGAUAUACAUCUUUUUGUGCAUAUAAGCAUGAAACGGGCCGAAAUAGUAGUGAAUCCAAUUAGAAAUCAGCGCGGACAAACAACCGAUGCGCCAGAAAGGUAGUGCAGCUUCUUAUAGUUGUGUAUUAUUUCAGUUUUUAUUUAUACUAAUUGUUUUUGGUACUUACUUCCUGAUGAUUUGUAAUUUCUUCCCCUGAAAACUUCUACUAUUCAUCUCAGUAUUAUAGAUUAUCAAAAAUAUGGCUUAAAUUGUGCAUUAUCAAAAUUAUGGCUGCUGUUCUAAGUUCUAACUACUAACUUAGAAAUACCUAAUCAUGUCAAUACCGACGAAAGAAAAAUAUUAUACAAAUACAUGUGAGCAGUUAAUUAGUAUGUUUAUCCAACUUAUGAAAUAUAUUCACGUAUAUUAAUCAUAAUCAAUUGUGCCUCGAGACCUACUAAUAUCUUCAUUUGAACUAACCUUGCAGAAGUGUUGUUGCUCAAAUUAAAUUUAUAUACCAUUUGUCUCGUUGUCAAAUGGUAGUUUGUUCAGUUAAAUUUCUCUUUUGGCAUAAAUUCAAGAACUUGCUUGUUGUGUGGCUCCAGGAGGAAAGCAUGUGAUUAUGGGUAAUUAAGGCACAUAUGAUCCGACUGUACUGUGUUUCUCUGUCUAGCAUAUUUCACGUUUUCCCAAUAUGAUUUUUUCUGUCUUUGCGCUUGAGAUUGCAACUUUGCUUUCAUAAUCAAAAUGGUAUGCAUUUUUUCAGGUUCAUCUGUUAUAGACACUGGUUCUGCUUUGCAGUCUUAAGAUUUUGAUUAUCGAGCCAUAUGAUGGGUCUUGCUAUGUUAUUUUCUGAAAGGAAAGGCUUACUAUGUUUUGGCACCCCUGCCUUGUAAGGCAUGCCCUUUAAUUUUCUGAAAAGAAAGGGUCACCAUGAUAUUAUUAGCCUUAUGUAGGUAGCAAUGAUACUGCUACUGCUACUAUUCAGCAAUAUAUUCUUGUGCAAUGCUUAUCUACAAUGUAACUUUCUGAUCUGCUUUGUCUGGUCAGCGAAGAAGGAAACCAGCA